UCCACCCUGUCAAGAAUCCCUCCUGCAACAUUCACGGGCCAUCACUCGAAGAUUUUUUUUUUUUCACUUGAGGAAAAUAUGGGUAAUUUUUCACGAUUUUUUUUUUUCCUUCUCUUGAGGGAUCUUCCUUACCGUGCCCGGGGAUGAGAGAUCCAGAGUCCUUGACCCCGGCAUCGCGCUUGAUCAUAGAUUCAAUGAGGUCCCCAAACAAGGACCCCACGAAGUUGAGAACUCCGAACGCCGACGCGCUGACCAAAAACAAAAAAAAAAAGUCUGAAGAAAUCACAGAGCAGGAACCAAUGCGUAUAAUCAUGAACGAAAACGAC
rnacentral:lncRNA from 1 species